CUGUCCGCAGCCCGGACCCGGGGCCCCGCUGACAACGGAGAAGCUCGAGGCCUGCGGCCUGGGAACCCCUGGGCGGGCGCUCCUGGCAGCGGCUCCCAGGAUGCGGGCUUCAAGGUCAGGCUGACGCUGGCCGACCUUGAGAGCCCCCCCCAGCUCUCGGCAGGCGAGCUCCAUCCCAUUAAGAAGCCGUUAGGAGCGCCAUCUGGUUCACUGCGCCCUGCUCCGCGAUCGAUGGCCGCUGGGCCAGUCUGAGCCCGGGGACCGGUGCUGCAAGCGACAGCAGAGCUGUCCUUGAUCCCAUCUUGCCGCUGGGAAAGGAGGCACAGAGAGGUCAAGCGACUCACCCAAGGCCACCCAGCUGAGGAGGAAAUCAAGACCCAGAGCAGUGGAUGUGAGUCUGCCGACUGUCUCCAGAGCUCACGUCUUGUCCCAAUGGAUGGAACAUCCUCAACUAUUAAACUCGGCGUUGAGGGGCUACCACCUACAGAAUCUCGUCGGACAACCAGGAGGAUGCAGAUCCACAG